UAGGGAAUCUUCGGCAAUGGACGAAAGUCUGACCGAGCAACGCCGCGGGAGUGAAGAAGGUUUUCGGAUCGUAAAACUCUGUUGUUAGAGAAGAACAAGGACGUUAGUAACUGAACGUCCCCUGACGGUAUCUAACCAGAAAGCCACGGCUAACUACGUGCCAGCAGCCGCGGUAAUACGUAGGUGGCAAGCGUUGUCCGGGUUUAUUGGGCGUAAAGCGAGCGUAGGCGGUUUCUUAAGUCUGAUGUGAAAGCCCCCGGCUCAACCGGGGAGGGUCAUUGGAAACUGGGAGACUUGAGUGCAGAAGAGGAGAGUGGAAUUCCAUGUGUAGCGGUGAAAUGCGUGGAUAUAUGGAGGAACACCAGUGGCAAAGGCGGCUCUCUGGUCUGUAACUGACGCUGAGGCUCGAAAGCGUGGGGAGCAAACAGG
rnacentral:rRNA from 1 species